rnacentral:rRNA from 1 species
UUCCGGUUGAUCCUGCCGGAGGCGACCGCUAUUGGAGUUCGAUUAAGCCAUGCGAGUAGUAAGAAAUUAGAUUCUUUGCGUACCGCUCAGUAACACGUGGGUAACCUGCCCUAUGCUGGGGAAUAACCUCGGGAAACUGAGAAUAAUACCCCAUAGUCCACCACGCCUGGAACGGUGGGUGGAUCAAAGGUAACGGCAUAGGAUGGGCCUGCGGCGUAUCAGGUUGUAGGGGGUGUAACGUACCCUCUAGCCUUCAACGCGUACGGGUGUUGGGAGACAUAGCCCGGAGAUGGAUUCUGAGACACGAAUCCAGACCCUACGGGGUGCAGCAGGCGCGAAAACUUGGCAAUGCGAGAAAUCGUGACCAGGGAACUCCAAGUGUCUGUCCAUAUGGGCAGUCUUUUCUUGACUCUUCAAAGGUCUUGGAAUAAGGGGUGGGUAAGGACGGUGCCAGCCGCCGCGGUAAUACCGGCGCCUCAAGUGGUCGUCGCUUUUAUUGGGCCUAAAACGUCCGUAGCCGGUCUGGUGCAUUCGUGGGUAAAUCAAGCCGCUCAACGGCUUGAAUUCUGCGAGCACGGCCAGACUUGGGACCGGGAGAGGUGUGGGGUACGCUCAGGGUAGGGGUAAAAUCCUGUCAUCCUGAGCGGACCACCUGUUGCGAAGGCUCCACACUAGAACGGAUCCGACGGUCAGGGACGAAGCCUAGGGGCACGAACCGGAUUAGAUACCCGGGUAGUCCUAGGUGUAAACGCUGUGGACUUGGUGUUGGGGGCUCUCAGAGUGUUCCCAGUGCCGAAGCGAAGGUGAUAAGUCCACUGCCUGGGGAGUACGGUCGCAAGGCUGAAACUUAAAGGAAUUGGCGGGGGAGCACUGCAACCGGAGGAUUGUGCGGUUUAAUUGGAUUCAACGCCGGG